rnacentral:rRNA from 1 species
CUGGUGCCAGCAGCCGCGGUAAUUCCAGCUCUAAUAGCGUAUAUUAAUAUUGUUGCAGUUAAAAAGCUCGUAGUUGAAAUUUGGGACUUUAUUGUAUUGGUUUGUCUUUUGAUGAACUGUAUAAUGGGUUUCUUCCUACUAGGAUUCGAUUCUGUCCUUAACUGGAUGGAGUAGUCAUCUCUCGGGGUGAUCAAUUUGUUGUUAUAUCUCCACUAAUGAGCAGAGAGGGGUAAAACUCUCAAAGUAAGUUUUGUGGAUCAAGGUAUGAUGAUGAAUUGGAGUUCUAGUUCAUUUACUUUGAGAAAAUUAGAGUGUUUAAAGCAGCCUCUUGGGGCACUGAAUACAUUAGCAUGGGAUAAUAAAAUAGGAUCUUUACAAUAUAUUUUAUUGGUUUAAAUUGAAAUAAAGAUAAUGAUUAAUAGGGACAGUUGGGGGGCC